rnacentral:tRNA from 1 species
GGGGUUGUGGUCUAGCUUGGUAUGAGCCCUCGAGAAAUCCCACUCGAAGGGUACAAUUCCUGCCUGGGGCGCAGGCGUUCCCGAGUUCAAGAAACCAUCCUAGGGCUGGGUGGAUUGGAAAUCUCGGCAACCCCACCA